CUCUCUCAACCAUAAAAAUCUCUUCAAAUCCCUCCUCCCACCGGAUGUCCCCCCUUCAAAUCGCCCUCUUAGAAACUAAAUCUCUUUUCCUUCUCUUCCUCGUUUGGGCGGAUUAAGCUUACCCUAGCUUCAAACCCUCAUCUCCAAACCGGCGAUCCAUCUCCCUAAAAAUCUUUGUUUUUUCUCUAAAAUUCUUUCCACUCUACCUCUCAUUAGGUCUCCUAAGCUGUUUGCAAGUCUCUGUUAUCCGAAAUAGCUCCCAAAUUGAAGCUACCGCAGAGAAGAAAGUCUAUUCGUGGAUUAGAAGAGGAUGUGCGCAGAAAAAGAAUGGCAGCCGAGCCCUCUCCUGCUCCAACCUCAGUUCAAAGUCCUGCUCCAGCUUCUUCACAGUCUCC
rnacentral:lncRNA from 1 species